rnacentral:rRNA from 1 species
UUGACCUCGGAUCAGGUAGGGAUACCCGCUGAACUUAAGCAUAUCAUAGACGGGGAGAGGGAAUAG